CACCGACUUGAAAGAGCCGUAGCCUCUUACCUCUCCUUCCAGGAAAGAGAUUUUUUCUAAAAGCUGCAAUAUUAGGAGCUGCUUCUGCUGCACUUUUUUCUUUAAUGAUUCAAUCUGGAAAGAGACAAGAGGAAAAUCGUCAGAUGAAAAUGCAGAACUGUACGACUGCAAGGGUGGGUCUCAUGUAUCUCAGGCUUGUCUCCAGUUGCUAUACAGCUGGACGUGACCUUGAACCUCUGAUCUUCCUGCCUCCACAUCCUGGGAGCUGGGAUUUCAGGAAUAGCCACAAGGCCCACAGGCACACGUAUUCAAGAUCAGGAUCGAAGGGCUGAGAGAAUAUUAACGUUAAGGAAGAAGCCACACCUGUCAUCACCAACACACUGCUGUUAUUGCUUCCUCCCUGAGGACCCCCCCCACACACACACACACACCACCACCACCACCACGGCUAUCUACUUCAAACUUUGUGCACUCUCUCCUUGAAAUAUUUGUCAAAGAUGUGUAAAUGCUAUUCCGGAAUGUUUCUGAAUACUGAGAAA